rnacentral:rRNA from 1 species
AAUACUGAGUGGCAAACGGGUGAGUAUAAUGUGGGAAUCUGCCUUUUGGUUCGGGAUAACUUCUGGAAACGGGAGCUAAUACCCAAUAUGCUGUGGAGUGAAAGAAUUUCGCCGAAAGACGAUCUUGCGUCUGAUUAGCUAGUUGGGGUGGUAAUGGCACACCAAGGCGACGAUCAGUAGCUGGUCUGAGAGGAUGGACAGCCACAUUGGGACUGAGACACGGCCCAGACUCC